rnacentral:rRNA from 1 species
CUGAUGGAGAGUUUGAUUCUGGCUCAGAACGAACGCUGGCAGCGUGGAUUAGGCAUGCAAGUCGAACGAGAAGCUUUGGAUUCAAUCUUUCGAGAGAGAAACUGAAGUGGAAAGUGGCGGAAGGGUGAGUAACGCGUGGAUAACCUACCCUUGAGUUGGGGACAACAUUCCGAAAGGAGUGCUAAUACCGAAUGUGGUAACCUGUCGCAGGACAGGCUCACUAAAGACGGGGAUUCUUCGGAACCUGUCGCUCGAGGAGGGGUCCGCGUCCCAUCAGCUUGUUGGUAAGGUAAAGGCUUACCAAGGCAUACGGGUAGCCGGCCUGAGAGGGUGAUCGGCCACACUGGGACUGAGACACUGCCCAGACUCCUACGGGAGGCUGCAGUCGAGGAUCAUUCGCAAUGCGCGAAAGCGUGACGAUGCGACGCUGCGUGGAGGAUGACGGCCUUAGGGUUGUAAACUCCUGUCAUGAGGGAAAAACGGCCAGUAGGAUAAUACCCUAUUGGUGUGAUGGUACCUCAAGAGGAAGCCACGGCUAACUCUGUGCCAGCAGCCGCGGUAAUACAGAGGUGGCGAGCGUUGUUCGGAUUUACUGGGCGUAAAGGGUGCGUAGGCGGUUAUGUAUGUCGGAUGUGAAAUCCCAGGGCUCAACUUUGGAAUUGCAUCCGAAACUGCAUAACUUGAGUGCAGGAUGGGAGAGCGGAAUUCUUGGUGUAGCGGUGAAAUGCGUUGAUAUCAAGAAGAACACCGGCGGCGAAGGCGGCUCUCUGGAAUGUUACUGACGCUGAGGCACGAAAGCUGGGGGAGCAAACAGGAUUAGAUACCCUGGUAGUCCCAGCCGUAAACGGUGCACACUUGGUGUUGGAGGUAUUGACCCCUCCAGUGCCGGAGCUAACGCGUUAAGUGUGCCGCCUGGGGAGUACGGCCGCAAGGCUAAAACUCAAAGAAAUUGACGGGGGCCCGCACAAGCGGAGGAGCAUGUGGCUUAAUUCGAUGCAACGCGAAGAACCUUACCAGGGCUUGACAUGGGGACCCUUCGGGGGUGGGUGCGAAAGUACCCUUUACCAUCACAGGUGCUGCAUGGCUGUCGUCAGUUCGUGCCGUGAGGUGUUGGGUUAAGUCCCGCAACGAACGCAACCCCUGUGGUUAGUUGCCACUUCAGGUGAUGAGCCUGGAAGCACUCUAGCCAGACUGCCCGUACAAGCGGGAGGAAGGUGGGGAUGACGUCAAGUCAGUAUGGCCCUUACGCCCUGGGCUGCACACGUGCUACAAUGGCCGGUACAGAGGGAUGCAAUACCGCGAGGUGGAGCAAAUCCAGAAAACCGGUCCCAGUUCGGAUUGGAGUCUGCAACUCGACUCCAUGAAGUUGGAUUCGCUAGUAACGGCGUAUCAGCUACGACGCCGUGAAUACGUUCCCGGGCCUUGUACACACCGCCUGUCAAAUCAUGAAAGUCGGUCCUGCCCAAAGUAUGUGUGUUAACCUCACCUCGGUGGGGAGGCAGCAUCCAAAGGUGGGGCUGGUGAUUGGGAUUAAGUCAUAACAAGGUAGCCGUAGGGGAACCUGCGGCUGGAUCACCUCCUUU